CUCUCACAUGGCUGAUAUGAAUAUGUCUUCAGAUGCCCUCCCUAACUGAACUCAAUGUGACCUCUGCAGCCCAUGCCUCAGUCUCCCUGAUUUCACAUCCCCAGCCUAGCACUGUUCCAACUCACCUUCUCAGGACUGGCCACGGUAGGUAGGUGACAAUCUGUAGAUUGGCUGUUGUAGAGCCUUUGAUGUCACUCUACCAAGUUAGUGGUGGGAGUACUGCAGACACUAGAGUGACGUCUUUGCAAGGCAGGCAAGGACCAUGGAAGGCCUCCAUAUAGGCUCUGCCCUGGACAAGGUAUAGAUUCCAAGGCCACGUCCCAAUGACCAAUUCCCUUCAACUAGCCCCACUUCCAAAAUUUUCAUCAUCUUCCAAUAAUGCUGUCAGAUUAUCGUCUCAUCACUGGCUGAAUCCACCAGUGAAGUCAGAAUCCCCAAGAUUCAAUCACUUUUCUAAAGCCUCAUCUGUGAACACCUGAGACUUCUGGGGGAAAAUUCUAGAUCUAAACAACAAUGGAAACCUUCCAAGAUCUUUAUGAUGUCACCUCAUCCCCUUCAUAGCUCAGUACCAAUGCACUUCUCCAAACUUUGUCUAUUCCAAAUGAAGCAUCCCAUUGAACACUCGCAUCAUCCAUGCCUCCUGGUUUCUACAGAGGAUAUUCCCCAAGGCCUUUCCAUGAACUGGGGACUAAGAAGCAACAUGGAACAAUGAUCUAGAGUACAGAUUUUGGAAUUUGGGGUUAAAAUGUCAUUUCUAUUGUGCACUAAUUGUGUCCUCCUGGGAAAAUUAUGAAGCUAUUUUAUUUUGCCUCCGUUUUCUCACCUAUGAAAGAGGUCACAGUAGUGCAGCCUACAUCAUGGACUUGUAACAAGGGCUGCAUGAGUUGAUGUAAGUAGUUUGUUAAAUGCAAGUAAGUGAGAAGCACCCAAUCCUGCCUCCAGCUGCUGCCCGCCUGGGCCUCUUUCACGGCCAUCUCUACUCUCCACUCUCACUAAACUCGACUCUGUGCUGCAUUACCAAUUAUUUCAGAUACUUCAUUUCUACUGCGAUGGGCCUGGCUGCAUGUUCUUGCCUGAAGGACACUGAUAGUGGGGAUAUCUGCCAAAGGUGCCUUUAUAAACCCAGCUAA
rnacentral:lncRNA from 1 species